GAUGAACGCUGGCGGCGUGCCUAAUACAUGCAAGUCGAGCGAACGGACGAGAAGCUUGCUUCUCUGACGUUAGCGGCGGACGGGUGAGUAACACGUGGAUAACCUACCUAUAAGACUGGGAUAACUUCGGGAAACCGGAGCUAAUACCGGAUAAUAUUUUGAACCGCAUGGUUCAAAAGUAAAAGACGGUCUUGCUGUCACUUAUAGAUGGAUCCGCGCUGCAUUAGCUAGUUGGUAAGGUAACGGCUUACCAAGGCAACGAUGCAUAGCCGACCUGAGAGGGUGAUCGGCCACACUGGAACGGAGACACGGUCCAGACUCCUACGGUAGGCAGCAGUAGGGAAUCUUCCGCAAUGGGCGAAAGCCUGACGGAGCAACGCCGCGUGAGUGAUGAAGGUCUUCGGAUCGUAAAACUCUGUUAUUAGGGAAGAACAGAUGUGUAAGUAACUGUGCACAUCUUGACGGUACCUAAUCAGAAAGCCACGGCUAACUACGUG
rnacentral:rRNA from 1 species